GUAGUUAGCCGGUGCUUCUUCUGUGAGUGAUGUCCUUCCUGCCGGCUAUUAACCCGCAGGCCUUCUUCCUCACUGAAAGUGCUUUACAACCCGAAGGCCUUCUUCACACACGCGGCAUGGCUGGAUCAGGGUUGCCCCCAUUGUCCAAUAUUCCCCACUGCUGCCUCCCGUAGGAGUCUGGGCCGUGUCUCAGUCCCAGUGUGGCUGAUCAUCCUCUCAGACCAGCUACGGAUCGUCGCCUUGGUGAGCCGUUACCUCACCAACCAGCUAAUCCGACAUAGGCUCAUCCGAUAGCGCGAGGCCCGAAGGUCCCCCGCUUUCCCCCGUAGGGCGUAUGCGGUAUUAGCCUGGGUUUCCCCAGGUUAUCCCCCACUACCGGGCAGAUUCCUAUGCAUUACUCACCCGUCCGCCGCUCGCCACCAGGGAGCAAGCUCCCCGUGCUGCCGCUCGACUUGCAUGUGUUAGGCCUGCCGCCAGCGUUCAAUCUGAGCCAGAAUCAAACUCGA
rnacentral:rRNA from 1 species